rnacentral:lncRNA from 1 species
AGCUAUGUAGUGCUGAUCUGUACUUACUUGUUUAGGUGCCACUAAAGCUCUAUGGCUAAGUUUAAUAGUUUCAAUUUUAGAUAAAUCUUGCUUUUAGAUAUAAACUAAUCAUCAUUAUUAUGGUCACUAUGGAAACAUUUUGGUGCUUGAGUAGUCACAUGAACUUGAGUGCUAAAUGUAUAUUUUCUUGGAAGUCAUUCAUUUUCUCAUGCUGUAUCUUAAUUGAAAGAAUUAGUUGUUGUGCAUAUAUUUGUUUACUUCACGCUGUGGAGCCUGAUUUCUAAAAGGAGACCUUUUUAUCCAUCUUUAUUCUAGCAUUACUUCCUAGAUGAAGAUUCUAGCUUUUUUUGUUUGAUGGAAAAGGAUCAUUAAGAAACUAGUACACUCCGCUCCCAACACAACCAAAUGCAGGAGGAAAAGAGGUGUUUUACUUUCCUUUUUCUGUUGUAUGCACUCUUACAUCAUGAAGCAGUGUGACACGUGCAAAACUGUUAUUUAUAAACAACAACAUAUCCAGUAUUAUCUUAUACCGUAGGGUCUGGGGAGGGUAGUGUGUACGCAAACCUUAUCCCUAGCUUGUGAGGAUAGAGAGUCUGUUUCCAAUAGAUCCUCGGUUCAGAAGCACCAUAUCAAUAAAAAUAUAGACAAGAAGGGACAUCACCAAUAAGCCAUAUAAAAGCAGAAUAAAAACAACAAGAUAGUAAGGUGUUCAACAAUGAAAGAAAACAACAGUUAGUCAUAAAAACCUACUACCAACACAAGGCAAGACUGCGUGCCAAUACUACUGUUAUGAACACUUUAGACUACCUAUUCUACUACCCUAAUCCUCGACCUCCAUAUCUUCCUAUCAAGGGUCAUGUCCU